CUGGGGAGAAGAGGAGGAGGAGGAACUUUGAUGGCUGGGGAGAGGAGGAGGGAGAGGAGGAACUUUGGUGGCUGGGGAGAAGAGGAGGAGGAGGAACUCUGGUGGCUGGGGAGAGGAGGAGGGAGAGGAGGAAGUGGUGGCUGGGGAGAAGAGGAGGAGGAGGAACUCUGGUGGCUGGGGAGAGGAGGAGGGAGAGGAGGAACUUUGGUGGCUGGGGAGGGGGGAGGAGGGAGAGGAGGAACUCUGGUGGCUGGGGAGAGGAGGAGGGAGAGGAGGAUCUCUGGUGGCUGGGGAAAGGAGGAGGGAGAGGAGGAACUCUGGUUGCUGGGGAGAGGAGGAGGGAGAGGAGGAACUCUGGUGGCUGGGGAGAGGAGGAGGGAGAGGAGGAACUCUGGUGGCUGGGGAGAAGAGGAGGAGGAGGAUCUCUGGUUGCUGGGGAGAGGAGGAAGAGGAGGAGGAGGAACUUUGGUGGCUGGGGAGAGGAGGAGGGAGAGGAGGAACUCUGGUGGCUGGGGAGAAGAGGAGGAGGAGGAACUCUGGUGGCUGGGGAGAGGAGGAGGAGGAGGAACUCUGGUGGUUGGGGAGAAGAGGAGGAGGAGGAACUCUGGUGGCUGGGAAGAGGAGGAGGAGGAACUCUGGUGGUUGGGGAGAAGAAGAAAUAGAAAGAGUUUGGGGAAUGGAGGAAAGGAGAGAAAGAGGCAGAGGAGAUACUGGGACACGGCAUGCAGAAGGACACAAAGAAUCACAUCUGUCUCCACACUGUCCUCCUUCCCUCUGUGGGAGACCGAGGAGAGAGG
ensembl:lncRNA